CGGCUGAGGGCCCUGAAGAAGUGGACUCUUCAGGGGGUAAACCAUUUGACUACCAUCAUUCACAAAGGCCUUAGAGAUGGAGUCCAAGCCCAUCUCAUUAGUAGCCAACUCUUCUGCACGUUCAAGGCUAUCCUGCACAUCAAUGGAGAACACCACAGAGAUUGCCUGUAAAUCCCUUCCUUUCUCAGUGUCUCUGAAGCCUUGGGCUGCAGUGCCUGCCACCUUACUGUCCUGGCCUUGCUGUAUAGUGCAGAGCCUCAUGAGCACUUCCUCCAUGGUUUGAAAUCAGUGCUGCUUCAGCUUCUUCUGAAUGGGGCAUUACCUUUGCCCUCUGAAGAGUUUGGGGACAAGAUCCUUGUGGAGGAGCUGUAACAUAUGUCCAGAGCUGAGUUCAAACAAACCACCAUGGAAAUUCCAAGCUUGGCGAGCCAACGUGGCCCCAGCAGGCAGCACACCUACAGAUCUGCACUGCGGCCAGCACACUCCUGGCACCCAACAAGCACUCGGUAAGUGCUCGCUUAAUGAAUGAGCCUGGCCCUGGGG
rnacentral:lncRNA from 1 species